CCACAGCGCGGCCCGGAAGCGACUUUAGUAAACAACGUAGAUUCGCCGCUAACGAACGAGCGGUUGACUUAAAAACUUUUUUCUCCUACGCGCCAGGUUAGGAAAAGGAAAAUCUCCCAUCCUGAAUACUAAAAGUUCACGAAGUCCGUCGUGUUGCUGUUGUGGAUUUGAAUGUGGACAGUUGGAGGGCAGCAGCGGGUAAGCUGGCACACGCACAAGUCAACCAGCUAACAAGACACUGCCAACCAACCGCCCACGAGCUGCAACAACGAUGACGUCUUCGUAAUGUCAGAAAUCUUUACUGUGAUGUACCCUUCCGUGAUCUCAAAGUAAGAUGCCAGGCAUGACUCCCAUCUCAGCUGUGGUUGGGAACCCAGCGGAAGCGAUAUCCGCCUUCCUGAGUCCUCGAGGUGAAGGCGCGUCCGUGAGGAAACACCUGAGUCCUUAUGGUACAGUGCUCUCUAACAGAAGUUCUGAAAGACGUGACGCUGUCC